rnacentral:rRNA from 1 species
AUCUCAUCCUGGGGCUGGAGCAGGUCCCAAGGGUAUGGCUGUUCGCCAUUUAAAGAGGUACGUGAGCUGGGUUUAGAACGUCGUGAGACAGUUCGGUCCCGAUCUGCCGUGGGUGUAGGAUACUUGAGAGGAGUUGCCCCUAGUACGAGAGGACCGGGGUGAACGUUCCACUGGUGGACCAGUUGUCGUGCCAACGGCAGUGCUGGGUAGCUAUGAACGGACAGGAUAACCGCUGAAGGCAUCUAAGCGGGAAGCCCCCCUCAAAACCAGGUAUCCCUUGAGAGCCGUGGAAGACCACCACGUCGAUAGGCCGGAGAUGUAAGCGCAGCAAUGCGUUCAGUUGACCGGUACUAAUUGCUCGAUAGGCUUGAUUUG